GGGGAUAACACUUGGAAACAGGUGCUAAUACCGCAUAACCAUAGUUACCGCAUGGUAACUAUGUAAAAGGUGGCUAUGCUACCGCUUUUGGAUGGGCCCGCGACGCAUUAGCUAGUUGGUGGGGUAAAGGCUUACCAAGGCAAUGAUGCGUAGCCGAACUGAGAGGUUGAUCGGCCACAUUGGGACUGAGACACGGCCCAAACUCCUACGGGAGGCAGCAGUAGGGAAUCUUCCACAAUGGGCGAAAGCCUGAUGGAGCAACGCCGCGUGGGUGAAGAAGGUCUUCGGAUCGUAAAACCCUGUUGUUAGAGAAGAAAGUGCGUGAGAGUAACUGUUCACGUUUCGACGGUAUCUAACCAGAAAGCCACGGCUAACUACGUGCCAGCAGCCGCGGUAAUACGUAGGUGGCAAGCGUUAUCCGGAUUUAUUGGGCGUAAAGAGAACGCAGGCGGUCUUUUAAGUCUGAUGUGAAAGCCUUCGGCUUAACCGGAGUAGUGCAUUGGAAACUAGGAGACUUGAGUGCAGAAGAGGAGAGUGGAACUCCAUGUGUAGCGGUGAAAUGCGUAGAUAUAUGGAAGAACACCAGUGGCGAAAGCGGCUCUCUGGUCUGUAACUGACGCUGAGGUUCGAAAGCGUGGGUAGCAAACAGGAUUAGAUACCCUGGUAGUCCACGCCGUAAACGAUGA
rnacentral:rRNA from 1 species